rnacentral:rRNA from 1 species
GACGAACGCUGGCGGCGUGCUUAACACAUGCAAGUCGAACGGAAAGGCCCUGCUUUUGUGGGGUGCUCGAGUGGCGAACGGGUGAGUAACACGUGAGUAACCUGCCCUUGACUUUGGGAUAACUUCAGGAAACUGGGGCUAAUACCGGAUAGGAGCUCCUGCUGCAUGGUGGGGGUUGGAAAGUUUCGGCGGUUGGGGAUGGACUCGCGGCUUAUCAGCUUGUUGGUGGGGUAGUGGCUUACCAAGGCUUUGACGGGUAGCCGGCCUGGGAGGGUGACCGGCCACAUUGGGACUGAGAGACGGACCAGACGCCUACGGGAGGCAGCAGUGGGGAAUAUUGCACAAUGGGCGGAAGCCUGAUGCAGCAACGCCGCGUGCGGGAUGACGGCCUUCGGGUUGUAAACCGCUUUCGCCUGUGACGAAGCGUGAGUGACGGUAAUGGGUAAAGAAGAACCGGCUAACUACGUG